CAGUAGCCGCGGUAAUACAGAGGGUGCGAGCGUUAAUCGGAUUUACUGGGCGUAAAGCGUGCGUAGGCGGCUAAUUGAGUCGGAUGUGAAAUCCCCGAGCUUAACUUGGGAAUUGCAUUCGAUACUGGUUAGCUAGAGUGUGGGAGAGGAUGGUAGAAUUCCAGGUGUAGCGGUGAAAUGCGUAGAGAUCUGGAGGAAUACCGAUGGCGAAGGCAGCCAUCUGGCCUAAUACUGACGCUGAGGUACGAAAGAAUGGGGAGCAAACAGGAUUAGAUACCCCGGUAGUCCCUGUCUCUUAUCC
rnacentral:rRNA from 1 species